UUCGGAAGUUUUUCUAGCGGCGGACGGGUGAGUAACACGUGGGCAACCUGCCUUAUAGAGGGGAAUAGCCUUCCGAAAGGAAGAUUAAUACCGCAUAACAUUAUUGAAAGGCAUCUUUUAAUAAUCAAAGGAGCAAUCCGCUAUAAGAUGGGCCCGCGGCGCAUUAGCUAGUUGGUGAGGUAACGGCUCACCAAGGCGAC
rnacentral:rRNA from 1 species